ACACUAAUUAAAAUCUUCAGUCUGAAAGUCUAUCUGAAAACAAUAUGGUUUAUUGAUGUUUUCUUUCCUUGUUUUAUCUUUUGAACAGAUUACUUUUGUUGAAUUAGUAGUCUAAUUUAAUCAAUCAUAGCCAUUCUCCUCAAAAAUGGAGAAAAUUUACAACAUUAAUAGGUGUACACUUCUUGAAGCAUAUACGCAUGUGUUUGACUCUUUGAAUAAACCACUUCACUGGUGAAGAAAAAAAUUUCAUACAAGUAAAAGACAAACAAAUAAAUGAAAUAAUUGGUCAUCAAUUAAUCAAAUUGUUUAUAUCUGCUUUACUUGUUUUGGAAAUAAAAUGGUUUGAUAAAGCUGGAGAACUAAGUAAAAAAUAAGAUCGAAAAUAUAUGAUAUUAAUAAACAGAUGGUUUUGAAUAUAAAGGGAAAUAGGAAAAUAUGCAAAUGAAAUGGAGGUCAACGACUUUUCAAAAAGGUAAAUUGAUAAUAUUCACUGAGCCCAAGCGAGAAACAAACAGAUAUACCAACAGGAAAUGAAGAGGCAUGCCAAGAUUUUAGCUCUAGCUGCCAACCACAGUAACUUGGAUACCGCCAGCUUUUUGAACAUGACUGGGUUCUUCAUACUCGGGGUUGGGAAAGUGUUGGAUGUGUCGUUUGUAGCCAGAGGAGAAAAACAUUCUCAGCAGUCAGACAUCAUUUCAAUGGCCAAGUUCAACCAGCAGAUCCAGGACAUCAUCGAUAACUCCAGCGAGUUAAUAAGGACUACUUCCAAGCGGUUAAAGAUAACAGAAUCCGUUAUCGGAAGUGUAGUGCAAGUGGGUAUCAGGUAAAGGCCUACAUGAUAAGUAAGGGUCAGUUCAUGUAUGACAAGACCCGGGCAAAUUAUGUGAUCAUGUGAUUCCCAGUGUCACUUGGCCUUCUAGUGUGCCGUAUUUGAACUUGUUGGAGCAUCAUCAAGAGAUAAGAAUUGGCCAGCAGUUCUGCAGUGCCACAGACAUGUUGGGGGUGGGGUGGGAUCUUCUGUUGUAGGUGUGGCAGAUGACAUUGUCAGAGGAUACCUGAUGGCAGUUGCUUCUGUGGCUGCAUUGGGGCCAUCAUUAGGGUUCAGGGUAGUUUUAUUUCUUUGAUGUAUUAAGUUGAACAUGUGUGUCAUUUUGCUGGGUGUAUCCAUUGUUAAUGUUUGGUAUUCUGGAUUUUUCUUCUUUAGUUUUAUUCUCAGUUGCCUGACACAUCCUGAGUGUGAGUGAGUGGUUGGUGGUGAUGGUUAGUGAUGGAGGAGGUGGAAAUCUCUUGGGAUAGGAUACUUAUAAUGUAACUCAAACCUAACUCAAUUUCAAGUACAGUCAACUUUAAAAGCAAUAAAUAGCAAAUUCUUUAACAUACGAAGAAAAAUAUUUAUUAAAGUGUAAUUUCAUGGCUUCAGUAAUUGGAAAGUUAACACAUAGCACAUCCAAAAUGUAUGUAAAACUGUAGAAGUGAAAUUACAAAACAGACAUGGUGCUGAUCCUUCAGUCCAAAAAUCUCAAAUUCAAAUCCACAGUAAAUGUUUUGUGGUUCAUUUCUGCAUUAUUCGGUCCUCCUAGAUGCAAAGUGGUACAGAUCUUCUUGAAGUGUUAUCUUGGUUAUACCGAUGUCCAGAAAAUUCAUCUAGCAUCAGAUAAAAACCAUAAAAGUGAAACCCCAAAAGUUAAUCAGAGACACACUUUGUUAUAUUGAAAAUUGUUACUGGAGAGCUGCAGUUGGAUGUCUUCAAGUAGUUGUAUGAAUUAGAAGUAGUAGUCAGUCAAAUGCUUAGUUUCAGAGCAAGCUAAAACUAUGCUUGAGUCCAUACAAGACCUUGGGCAAGUGUCUUCUACCAGGGACUGAGGUUGACUAAAACUCUGAGUGAAAUCUGAUAGACACUGUGGGAAAGCCCAUUGGAGAGACAGUUCUUGUUUUUAGAUGGUAGACUUCAUCAAAUUUUCUUAACUUAUUGGUUCUGGAGAAAGGAGUAGUGCCCUUAACAGGCUCUGCCUAACUAGUGAGAGUUAUGCCAUUAAUAUUCUUCUUGAACAUUUAUAAGUUAACACCUGCAGGAAAGACAUGAACAGGGAGAAAAUUUCAGAGGGGCAAUGCUCUGAGGAGGAAGGAUUGGACAUUGUGAUAAGUAUGGUGCCUGGGAAGUUAUGCAGUAAACAUUAUGAGAGGAGGAGAUGGCACGAGUAAAGCCAGCUCUGAGGGGUACAGCCUAUCAUAAAAGGGGUAGCAAAGGUAUAGAGAGAAGAUAGCACAAUAUGGGCCGGAACUGGAGUAUAUCUGUGAGUGAUUUUGUACCAGUCAGUCAGGUGGCCUGUUUCUGAAUAUGGUCUAGGAUUUUUAUGUGUGCAGUGGCAGCACUAUCCCGGAUGUAAAAGCAAUACUCCAUGCUGGGCAUCACCUGAGCUCUGUAGUGUUCAGUUUAACAUCAAUUCUUACCUCUCUCUGGUAUGCCUUUAGCAGAAUCUAGACUUUGGAAAACAAUCAGGCAAGUCUCUGCUCUGAGAAUAAUUUCUUCACUUCCUCACUCUCAGUGCCCUUGAAAAGGGUCGUGAGCAUUGCUUUUCCUUCCCUAUAUCAUAUGCAGUGACUGUGGUUGCAUUUUGUUUCCCAAGGAUUCACAGGAGAUGGUAAACAACAAAAGCUAAAAACUCAUUUACAAAGCUAAUCUAUAAGGUGUUUCAAAAUCCACAUACACCUUUAAUGCACAACACCUGGCCCUUUUUACUCAAAUAGUUGGAAGCUGAGAUGAUCCUUAUUUCUUCCUCCCUACAUUUACCUGAUAAACUGUUUUUCAGUGGAAACAGUUCAAUAUCAAAAUUUGUGAGAUUCUCAAGUCAUCUAAUAAUCAAAGCACCAAUACCAUAUUUAUACAAGAGUGAGCAUGUAUGUGUACAUAUAUGUAUAUGAGCAUACCUGUAUGCAUAUGUGUGUGUGUGUGUGUGUAAACAGAACUAAGUCAUAGUUCCAUGUGCUUCAAAAACAGAAAUUUUGUCAUUUAUACAGGUGUUUGUAAGGAGUAUCUGUCAAACCAAUGACAACAUGGAAAAAUAAAAAAUAAACAAUAAACUGAUAAUGAUGAUAAGAAGAUAGAGCGGUGAGAGAAGAGAAUGGAGAAGGAGCAGGAACGCAUUUGCACUAACAUAAAAUGCUAUCAAGAACAUUUGUUUCCAUCACAUAAUACAAAAUGCAACAAGAUGUUUGCUUUUAUUUUGCUAUCUGUAUCAAGAAUCCGGGUUAUAUCUCUUAAUAUAACAGUUUCCUUAUCUGCCUUGUUCAUCAAAUGAUUCCAAUUUCUAAUUAUUGGAGAUUUCGUUUGUUUAUUUCUUUAGCUUUCAUUUUAUCAUCUUCAAUUUAGUGUCUUUUGCUAGAAGAAUAAAGGCAACAGCAUGCCAAUUGAUAUGGAAAACCUCAGCAGAAAAUCUAUUUUAUCUUUCACUCCUUUUGCCAUUCCAUUAUCUAACAUGAUCCUGGUUUUAUUUUGCUGAUAAUUUAUGUAUUCAAAUUUCUCAAAACUGAAAGAAGUAACUUCAGAAUUUGAUAAUUUGGAACAUAGAGAAACAAGAAUGAAUGCAAAAAA